GAUGAACGCUAGCUACAGGCUUAACACAUGCAAGUCGAGGGGAAACGGCAUUAAGUGCUUGCACUUUUUGGACGUCGACCGGCGCACGGGUGAGUAACGCGUAUCCAACCUUCCCAUGACUAAGGGAUAACCUGCCGAAAGGCAGACUAAUACCUUAUGGUCUUCACUGACGGCAUCAGAUGUGAAGUAAAGAUUUAUCGGUUAUGGAUGGGGAUGCGUCUGAUUAGCUUGUUGGCGGGGUAACGGCCCACCAAGGCAACGAUCAGUAGGGGUUCUGAGAGGAAGGUCCCCUACAUUGGAACUGCGACCCGGUCCAAACUCCGACGGGAGGCAGCAGUGAGGAAUAUUGGUCAAUGGGCGAGAGCCUGACCCAGCCAAGUAGCGUGCAGGAGGACGGCCCUAGGGGUGGUAAUCUGUUUUUGUAUGGGGAUAACGUCAAUCACGUGUGAUUGUUUGCAGGUACCAUAAGAAUAAGGACCGGCUAAUUCCGUG
rnacentral:rRNA from 1 species